UGCGGGGUGGAGCAGUCUGGUAGCUCGACGGGCUCAUAACCCGGAGGUCGUAGGUUCAAAUCCUGCCCCCGCUACCA
rnacentral:tRNA from 1 species